rnacentral:rRNA from 1 species
AUUGAGCGCUGGCGGCAUGCCUUACACAUGCAAGUCGAACGGCAGCACGGGAGCAAUCCUGGUGGCGAGUGGCGAACGGGUGAGUAAAGUAUCGGAACGUGCCCAGUCGUGGGGGAUAACGUAGCGAAAGUUACGCUAAUACCGCAUACGAUCUAUGGAUGAAAGCGGGGGAUCGCAAGACCUCGCGCGAUGGGAGCGGCCGAUACCAGAUUAGGUAGUUGGUGGGGUAAAGGCCCACCAAGCCGACGAUCUGUAGCUGGUCUGAGAGGACGACCAGCCACACUGGGACUGAGACACGGCCCAGACUCCUACGGGAGGCAGCAGUGGGGAAUUUUGGACAAUGGGCGAAAGCCUGAUCCAGCCAUGCCGCGUGCAGGAUGAAGGCCUUCGGGUUGUAAACUGCUUUUGUACGGAACGAAAAGGACUGCCCUAAUACGGUGGUCCCAUGACGGUACCGUAAGAAUAAGCACCGGCUAACUACGUGCCAGCAGCCGCCGUAA